UACAGAGGUCCCGAGCGUUGUUCGGAUUCAUUGGGCGUAAAGGGUGCGUAGGCGGCGCGGUAAGUCGGGUGUGAAAUCUCGGAGCUUAACUCCGAAACUGCAUUCGAUACUGCCGUGCUUGAGGACUGGAGAGGAGACUGGAAUUUACGGUGUAGCAGUGAAAUGCGUAGAUAUCGUAAGGAAGACCAGUGGCGAAGGCGAAUCUCUGGACAGUUACUGACACUGAGGCACGAAGGCCAGGGGAGCAAACGGG
rnacentral:rRNA from 1 species